rnacentral:rRNA from 1 species
AUUGAACGCUGGCGGCAGGCCUAACACAUGCAAGUCGAGCGGAGCGGCGGACGGGUGAGUAAUGCCUAGGAAGCUGCCUGGUCGUGGGGGAUAACGCCCGGAAAGGGGCGCGAAUACCGCAUACUUUCAGGUGAGCUUCGGUUGGAUUAGCUAGUUGGUGGGGUAAAGGCCUACCAAGGCGACGAUCCGUAACUGGUCUGAGAGGAUGAUCAGUCACACUGGAACUGAGACACGGUCCAGACUCCUACGGGAGGCAGCAGUGGGGAAUAUUGGGCAAUGGGCGAAAGCCUGAUCCAGCCAUGCCGCGUGUGUGAAGAAGGUCUUCGGAUUGUAAAGCACUUUAAGUUGGGAGGCGUUACCAACAGAAUAAGCACCGGCUAACUUCGUGCCAGCAGCCGCGGUAAUAC